rnacentral:rRNA from 1 species
GACGAACGCUGGCGGCGUGCUUAACACAUGCAAGUCGAACGGAAAGGCCCUGCUUUUGUGGGGUGCUCGAGUGGCGAACGGGUGAGUAACACGUGAGUAACCUGCCCUUUACUUUGGGAUAACUUCAGGAAACUGGGGCUAAUACCGGAUAGGAGUUCCUGCUGCAUGGUGGGGGUUGGAAAGUUUCGGCGGUUGGGGAUGGACUCGCGGCUUAUCAGCUUGUUGGUGGGGUAGUGGCUUACCAAGGCUUUGACGGGUAGCCGGCCUGGGAGGGUGACCGGCCACAUUGGGACUGAGAUACGGACCAGACGCCUACGGGAGGCAGCAGUGGGGAAUAUUGCACAAUGGGCGGAAGCCUGAUGCAGCAACGCCGCGUGCGGGAUGACGGCCUUCGGGUUGUAAACCGCUUUCGCCUGUGACGAAGCGUGAGUGACGGUAAUGGGUAAAGAAGCACCGGCUAACUACGUG